rnacentral:rRNA from 1 species
GACGAACGCUGGCGGCGUGCUUAACACAUGCAAGUCGAACGAAGUGGCGAACGGGUGAGUAACGCGUAAUCAACCUGCCCUUCAGAGGGGGACAACAGUUGGAAACGACUGCUAAAACCGCAUACUGAAGGAGGGGAUUGCGUCGGAUUGGCUAGUUGGAGGGGUAACGGCCCACAAAGGCGAUGAUCAGUAGCCGGUCGUAGAGGAUGAACGGCCAAAUUGGGACUGAGACACGGACCAGACUCCUACGGGAGGCAGCAGUGGGGAAUCUUCCGAAAUGGACGAAAGUCUGACGGAGCAACGCCGCGUGAUGGAUGACGGCCUUCGGGUUGUAAAGCUCUGUUAAUCGGGACGCGGUACCGGAAUAGAAAGCCACGGCUAACUACGUGCCAGCAGCCGCGGUAAUUC